rnacentral:lncRNA from 1 species
GGGCUUGUGAGAAUUGAAGUUCCUCUGAUGUACCAUAUUGGCAGCAGAAGAGCUUUCCACCGCUUUUCCAUUGGAGUCCUUUACUCUCGAGUUCUGCUCAACACUCAGAUGGCCGAUGAUGUCCUCUACUGAGAACUCACGCCUCUGAUGUUUCAGAGUAGUAGCAAAGUUCCUCCAGGAAUUAGGGAGCUUAGCAAUUAUACAGCCCGCGACAAACUUGCCCAGCAAAUUGCACUUAAGAACCUCAAGUUCCUUAGCUAUGCAUA